rnacentral:misc_RNA from 1 species
AGGCAAUUUACUAUCCAGCAAUGUUCAAUAAGCUAAAAGGAAUCAAACUGCUACUAGCCACCAUCAGCACAAAAAGCAAAAUCGCUAGCUCAUAUAUGAAAAGAGAAAGAUGCAGAAAACAAGAAGACAAACUUACUUCAAGAUCUCAAGAUUACAAUUUUCGCUAAAAGAUUACAAAUUUUAACAUUUUAAAAAGGAUAAAAUCAAUAUCACCCACCAGCAAAAUUCUACAAAUUUACGUUUACAUCAGCAAAACUACACCUUCGGUAGUGAGCUUUCAUGCUCGACUCCCACAUAAAUUAAAGCUUAAAUUUUUCUCAUUUUCAGCAAUCAAGAACCAAUCAAAGCAAUCAAAAUUACAAUUUCACAUCACCAUUAUCUCAUGAAAACUACAAAUUCA